rnacentral:rRNA from 1 species
CCUGAGAAACGGCUGCCACUUCCAAGGAAGGCAGCAGGCGCGCAAAUUACCCAAUCCUGACACAGGGAGGUAGUGACAAUAAAUAACAAUACAGGUCCUUCUACAGGUCUUGUAAUUGGAAUGAGAACGAUUUAAAACCACUAUCGAGUAGCAAUUGGAGGGCAAGUCUGGUGCCAGCAGCCGCGGUAAUUCCAGCUCCAAUAGCGUAUAUUAAAGUUGCUGCAGUUAAAAAGCUCGUAGUUGAAUUUUGGGACUUGGGAGGUCUGGUCUGCCCACUGUGGUAAGUACUGGCUUCGCGGUUCUAAUUCUUCGUGCGGGUUCAGUCCUCACGGGCUGGGCUUUGCUGGAGAAUGUUUCCAUCUCAUUGCAGCCUCCUGCACUUAAUUGAGUGGGAGUGAUUUCUGUAUGGGAUCGUUUACCUUGAGAAAAUUAGAGUGUUCAAAGCAGGCAAUUCUUUUUCUUGGGGAGGGCGGGCGUGGGGCAACCUGCGUCAGUUUUCUUCGAGCUCUAAGCCAUUGAAUACUUCAGCAUGGGAUAAUAAAACAGGACUCGAUUCCUAUUUUGUUGGUUUCUAGGAAAAUGGGUAAUGAUGAAUAGAAAUAGUUGGGGAUAUUAGUAUUUAAUAGCUAGAGGUGAAAUUCUUGGAUUUAUGAAAGACUAACUUCUGCGAAAGCAUUUAUCAAGGAUGUUUUCAUUGAUCAAGAACGAAAGUUAGGGGACGAAGAUGAUCAGAUACCGUCGUAGUCUUAACCAUAAACUAUGCCGACCAGGGAUUUGGGGACGUUACAUGGAAGACUUCCUGAGCACCUUGAGAGAAAUCAUUGAGUCUUUAGGUUCUGGGGGGAGUAUGGUCGCAAGGCUGAAACUUAAAGGAAUUGACGGGAGGGCACACCAGAAGUGGAGCUUGCGGCUUAAUUUGACCCAACACGGGAAAACUUACCAGGUCAAGACAUAAUUAGGAUUGACAGAUUGAGAGCUCUUUCUUGAUUUUAUGGGUGGUGGUGCAUGGCCGUUCUUAGUUGGUGGAGUGAUUUGUCUGGUUAAUUCCGAUAACGAACGAGACCUUAACCUGCUAAAUAGUCACGCGAACCCUUCCGCUAUGUGGUGAAUCUGGGGUUGUGAGUCUGUGCGGUGAUCGCCUCCUACGGGAGGUCGUGGGCUUUCGGGUCACGAUCACAGCCAGGCCGACGCCAGAGAAUCCAUUGAUGAGUUCGUGGAUGUACUUCUU